rnacentral:tRNA from 1 species
GCUGGCGUAGCUCAAUUAGUAGAGCAUCUCAUUUGUAAUGAGGCGGUUGGGGGUUCGAGUCCCUUCGCCAGCUCCA